rnacentral:rRNA from 1 species
CGGGUGAGUAAUACAUAAGUAACCUGCCCUAGACAGGGGGAUAACUAUUGAAACGAUAGCUAAGACCGCAUAGGUACGGACACUGCAUGGUGACCGUAUUAAAAGUGCCUCAAAGCACUGGUAGAGGAUGGACUUAUGGCGCAUUAGCUGGUUGGCGGGGGUAACGGCCCACCAAGGCGACGAUGCGUAGCCGACCUGAGAGGGUGACCGGCCACACUGGGACUGAGACACGGCCCAGACUCCUACGGGAGGCAGCAUG